rnacentral:rRNA from 1 species
AGUGAACGCUGGCGGUAGGCCUAACACAUGCAAGUCGAACGGCAGCACAGUAAGAGCUUGCUCUUACGGGUGGCGAGUGGCGGACGGGUGAGGAAUACAUCGGAAUCUACUUUUUCGUGGGGGAUAACGUAGGGAAACUUACGCUAAUACCGCAUACGACCUACGGGUGAAAGCAGGGGAUCUUCGGACCUUGCGCGAUUGAAUGAGCCGAUGUCGGAUUAGCUAGUUGGCGGGGUAAAGGCCCACCAAGGCGACGAUCCGUAGCUGGUCUGAGAGGAUGAUCAGCCACACUGGAACUGAGACACGGUCCAGACUCCUACGGGAGGCAGCAGUGGGGAAUAUUGGACAAUGGGCGCAAGCCUGAUCCAGCCAUACCGCGUGGGUGAAGAGGGCCUUCGGGUUGUAAAGCCCUUUUGUCGGGAAAGAAAAGCAGCAGGUUAAUACCCCGCUGUUCUGACGGUACCCAAAGAAUAAGCACCGGCUAACUUCGUG